AAAAACUUAGUUAAAUACAUAACACUAGCUUGUCAUGCUAAAAUCAUUAUCACAAUUAAUAGUUUUUA
rnacentral:tRNA from 1 species